AAUCUCAUCAGCCAGAAGGGAUUCCUUCCGGUCAAUGAGUUAUAACAUCCUCAUCGACGGAAGGAAUCCCUUCUGAUUGAUGAGGUA
rnacentral:miRNA from 1 species